rnacentral:lncRNA from 1 species
GCUUCGUCAGCUUUAGUAAAAGUGUGUAAUCUGCUAAGAAUUUUAAUAUGGUAAAUUUAAAUUUGUCAGAAAUAAUUAAUCGUACAGAGAAGCUGCAAAUAUUUUAUGAUGGCGCUUAAACGAUUUUCACCAGGUUAUGUGGAAGUUGCCAGCAUCUAAUCGAAAAAAAAAGAAAGAAAAUUAAAGGAAUAUCUUCGGCUGGAAUUACAGGGAUAGGGGAGGCAAAAAAAGUCGUGUUUAUUGGUUGAAAAGUGUGAGAACACAUCAUCUAUCUGCACAAGUCUUACGAUGACAUAGUAGAUUACAUAGCAAGUAGAAAUUACACAUCUGCCGAGCGUCGAGGAUCGUCUUACUCUUUGCUAGGCUCUGCCAGAAGAUGGGAACAGAUUUCCCACACUGCUGUACUAACAAAGGGACCUGUUCACUUCUUAUAACUCCGCAAGAAUCCCCCUCUCUCGAUGGGGCAAUAAAUAUCUCUCCUUUCCCCACUUAUUCAAUGUGGUCUUCCAUUAAUGUAAUGCGAACUUUCUUUCAGAAACUUUUUCCUCGACCUUUAUUUUAUUAUUUUUUUUUACUUUUUUUUGGGAGUAACUAAAUAAGAAUUAAAAAAAAAAAUUCUCCCCGACCGAAAUUUUCAAUUAUUCCAGAUGGAUAAUCAUCGCGACGUUCUUCGCCGAGAGAGGGCACGACCCGACGCGUUUAAAAAAUAUAUAUAUAUAAACUCUCCCUCUAUAGGUCGAUUUAAAAAAAAAAAAACACGAUAAAAUAAAAACGAAUUCAAUUUCGAUUAAAACACGUCUUAUAAUUCAAAAAAUAAAAACUUUUAAGACAUUAUAAGUGUUAUUAUUUAGUUAAAACUUUUAUCUUAUUAAAAACGCAACGAAUUUUCUUCCUAUCAAACUUUGCUCGUCACGUGAAUAGCGGAGACCAAUAGAAGCCGGUUUUGUCAGCGUCGCAACGAUUGGCUACUCCUCGUGCUGGCUCCUCCCGUUGCUAAUGACGUCAAGUGUUUAUCGUAGAGAAGCGAAGCUAGAAAAGUUGGCAGUUUGUAGGCCGUAAAAGCACUAAGAAGUCGAAUUGUGGCUUCGAUUCUACACAUUCUGGCUGUUGUGUGUGUGUGUGUUUUUUGUUUUUUUCUAAAUUGACGACAAUGUCUACGGCAUUGGUCUCCCCCAUGUACGACUUUGGGGAUGUGAUGUACAAGACCAACAAUCUUACAACGCACAAAGAUACCGCAUUCUUUCUG